GGUCCGUUCGGCUAGUGGCCCAAGCCCCCUGCCUUUCAAGCAGGAUGACACCGGUUCAAAUCCGGUACGGACUAC
rnacentral:tRNA from 1 species